UUUGAUUGGAUAAAAAAGCAACGAAUUUCUCUAGUCUAAACAUAAGCUGUAACUAACUGAUGUAUGCAAGUUUAUAAUUAACACGAUCAUUGCCAACAUGUUCGUACUACUACACACUUUAAAAUGCUGAAACAUUUACUCAAAUAAUAUACAUACACAGGUGUGAGUGUGUGUACUAUGUAAAUAGAGGAAAGAGUUGAAGGUUGAAACAGCAGCUACAUUUGUGUCCAGUCAUUGUCCAUAUGCAGCGAAAAAAAUAAAAAAAUAUUUUUAAUUUGAAUAAGUAAUUCGAACAACAGCCAAAAUCAAAUAGGAAAAAAAAAAAUACACACACAAAACUGAAAAACAAGUCAAAACAAAUGUGAAACAAGGAAAAUUCAAUUUACUCGCAUGUCAAACCGAAUUGCCGGCUAGGUCAAACACGUUGAUGGAUGGAUGGAUGCAUGGCCGCCUGAAUGAAAGGGACGCACAACAACAACAGCUACAAGCUGAAAUGGCAAAACGUUGCAUGGUCCGCUAUUGGGCGGUCCGCUUGCCCCACCCAGCUAACCAGGCCAGGCACAGGCACAGGCACAGGCACAAGCAAACCCAAUCCAACCGACGGCAAACAAUGGUCAAACUCGCGCUUCAUUCCACGUGCAUGUUUCGAAUAUUCGUAUGAGUGCAAAUAUUUCGAUGGAAGGAGGUAUCAAACGUUUUGCAUGCCACAUGUGAAGAAUGAGUACUUGAAAAUGUGCAGCAUACUCGAUGCAAGGCCUAGACUGUAACUGAAUUCUAAUAUCCAUUGGAAACUAGUCUGAAUGCUUCUCGCGCCGCUGAUUGCGUAUGGCAGGCUAGAAAUUUAAUUAAACUUGGAAUGCAAACAACUUCUAACUGCGGGCAACAGACAA
rnacentral:misc_RNA from 1 species